rfam:Candidate division TM6 bacterium RIFCSPHIGHO2_12_FTLL_38_8 rifcsphigho2_12_scaffold_16780, whole genome shotgun sequence.
GUGAUGGAGAGCUUGAUCCUGGCUCAGAAUGAACGUUGGCGGCGUGCCUAACACAUGCAAGUCGAGCGUGAAAGUCCUUCGGGAUGAGUAAAGCGGCGGACGGGUGAGUAACGCGUGAGAAUCUUCCCUUCAGUGAGGAAUACCUUUGAGAAAUCGAAGUUAAUACUGCAUACGUCUCGAAAGAGAGAAAGAUGGCCUAAUUGCUGUCGCUGAAGGAUGAGCUUGCGUUCUAUUAGUUAGUUGGUGAGGUAAUGGCUCACCAAGACGAUGAUGGAUAGCCGGCCUGAGAGGGCGAACGGCCACAUUGGAACUUAGACACGGUCCAAACUCCUACGGGAGGCAGCAGUGAGGAAUAUUGCACAAUGGGCGAAAGCCUGAUGCAGCGACGCCGCGUGGAGGAUGAAGGUUUUCGGAUUGUAAACUCCUGUUAAGUGGGAAAAAAGACUCGUCUUUAAUAGGGACGAGGGAUGAUGGUACCACUAAAGAAAGCACCGGCUAACUUCGUGCCAGCAGCCGCGGUAAUACGAGGGGUGCAAACGUUAUUCGGAAUCAUUGGGCGUAAAGGGUACGUAGACGGCGAAAUAAGUCAGUCAUUAAAUCUCUCAGCUUAACUGAGAAC